GAUGAACGCUGGCGGCGUGCCUAAUACAUGCAAGUCGAGCGAAGCGGGGACGGGUGAGUAACACGUGGAUAACCUCCUAUAAGACUGGGAUAACUUCCGGAAACCGGUGCUUAACCGGCUACUUAUACAUGGACCCGCGCUGCAUUAGCUAGUUGGUAAGGUAACGGCUUACCAAGGCAACGAUGCAUAGCCGGCCUGAGAGGGUGAUCGGCCACACUGGAACUGAGACACGGUCCAGACUCCUACGGGAGGCAGCAGUAGGGAAUCUUGCGCAAUGGGCGAAAGCCUGACGGAGCAACGCCGCGUGAGUGAUGAAGGUCUUCGGAUCGUAAAACUCUGUUAUUAGGGAAGCGGUACCUAAACAGAAAGCCACGGCUAACUACGUGCCAGCAGCCGCGGUAAUAC
rnacentral:rRNA from 1 species